GGGAUAUGGUAAGUCAAUUGAAUUUGUUAAUCAGAAACUUUCUUGAUUACAACUUUCUGUUCAACAACUUCGAAUCAGGACAGAAAUUCCCACUUGCAAUUAGUCAACACUUCUGUUAGUCGAUAGAACAAUUACAUUCCUGUCAUGGGGAAACCCAAAAAAUAAAAACUAGGAAAGAAAGAAAGAUUAGUCUCAAUCUAUCCGAGUAGAAAAUACUCUCUUAAACGUUGCUAGCCAGUAUUUUCUUUUGCCAAAAUCACCAGUUGAUGGUUAUAUGUACAUCCAUCCCUGCACAAAAAUCAUUGACCUUAGAAAAGCAGAGGUUCUUGCUCCCAACAAAAAACUAUAAAUAGCAAUAUCAUGCUUUUGGGUACCAUGGGGCUUUAGCCAAUUCUUGGAACUUAAGUUCAUAAUUCUCAGCAUUCCCUUCUAACUGCUGAAUCUCGAUAUCAAGUCUACUAGUUAUCUCUUUUAUUUCCAAAAGCCUUUUCUCAAGGGUUCUCAUCUCCUCUUCUGCAUUAACUCUUUCAAGUCUAGCUUCCUUAUGCCUCUUUGACUUUGCAGCAAGGCUUUUCAGCUGAUCCAACCGAUCAAGCAAGAAGUGGAUGUUCAUUCCCAGUGUUUGGAACGCUUUCAAAGUCUUCUGCCAAGUAACAAAACUUUCUGGUGGGGUGGUAAGCUGGGAUGCUCUAAUGGCAUCAGCAAUGUUAAUAGUCUCCGCUAUUACUCCUGCAGCCAGCUUACAAUUAAGGCCCCCAAGAAGCUGCUCAUGGAGAAAUGAUCUUUGGCUGCAGCAAAGAUCAUAAUACUUGGAUUGAAGGUGUUUGGAUAGCUCAGGGUUUAUAACUAAACCAUUAAUGAGAAUGUCAAAAUCCUCGAAACUUUUCACUUGAUUAAAAUCAACAGCAGAUUCUGACAAUCUCAUUCCAUCCAAAACAUCAAAGCCAAAAUCCUCACUUCCAUAUUCUAUUUCUUCAGUAGCUGUACUCAGAUUCUCGUGACUCAUUUGUUUCUUGCAAGCAUCCAAUUUCAAAAGGCCAAGAGCGCCAUCGACUUCUUCUAGACCAUUUGUUUUCACAAUGUAGACCUUAAAUUUAGUUGGCUUCACUAGUUGAAAAACCAAGACAUCGCCCUCCAGUAACUUGUGAGCUAUGCUGAAACCUCUCCAUCCUCCACUAAGGCCUACCUUCUCUACAAGAAAUUUUGUUUGAUAAUUUAUUCCACUUUCAUCUUCCAAAACAAUCAUCGUGUCUUGUUUUGGCAUAUGCUCAUUGCAGAAUUGCUUAUUAAGACCCAGCCAAAAUCCUCCUGAAACAUGAGAAGGAAGCAUACAUUUUAUCAUGCUAGGAAAUUCAGGUACUAGAUUUGCUUGAACUUCUUCCGCUCGCUUCAAGACUGCAGAUUUAACUCCCUCAUUAUCAUAUAGACUGGCUGUUGUGACUCUCUUCCGUUUAUGGCUUUCAGGCUUCGUUGGAUUAUGGCAUGUUACUUGCUUGUUAGUCAUUUUUAUUACAGCUAAAGAUUUUCCACCAAGCAAAAUUUCCCUCAUCUUUGCAGGCCUUCCUCGCUUUGGCAGCUUUUUGUCCGCAGGAAGAACAGCCAUAGCUUUGUUAAACAGUAGCAGAAUCCCAGAAGCCUCUAAAUCGACUGUUUAUAUUGAAAUAGGGAUAUUCGUC
rnacentral:misc_RNA from 1 species